GUGAUACGAUGAUGACCGCAUAGUUCAGCAGAUUUCCCAUGAAGAACUAAUAGCAUUGUCUUUCGCUCCUAGCUGAUGUAUCAA